rnacentral:rRNA from 1 species
UACGUAGGGUGCAAGCGUUGUCCGGAAUUAUUGGGCGUAAAGAGCUUGUAGGCGGUUUGUCGCGUCUGCUGUGAAAUUUCGGGGCUCAACCCCGAACUUGCAGUGGGUACGGGCAGACUAGAGUGCGGUAGGGGAGACUGGAAUUCCUGGUGUAGCGGUGAAAUGCGCAGAUAUCAGGAGGAACACCGGUGGCGAAGGCGGGUCUCUGGGCCGUAACUGACGCUGGAGGAGCGAAAGCGUGGGGAGCGAACAGG